rnacentral:misc_RNA from 1 species
UUUUUUUUUUCAAUUAAAUAACGAUACUCAUUCACUGCACAUUUGUAAAGGAACAGUCAACAAAUAUAUCUAAGACAAAUUUAAUGAGAAGACGAAGGGAUUUUGGAGAGGACGGCGGCUGGGACAGAAACUACUAAAAAUUAAGGUCAGCUCAACACUACUUGUACAAAGAAAAGAGUUCCUAAUGCAUAUGGUACAAACCCUGCGAUGUAUUUUAAUCAGGAAACAGUCAUGUGAUCCAUAUUGCAGCAUUGGGCUUAUCAUCAGUGACUGCUGUUGAAACACCCCCCCACCCCCCCAAAAAAGGGAGAUGAUCUCUGGAGAAUGCAUGACCAUACUUCCUGUUACAGAAUGCUCAAGUUAAUCACCAAAUUGAAUCAAACUAUGCAUCAUCAUCCCCAUCUCCAUCCUUGUCUGCAUCACCACCAGCCUCAGCAUUGUCCUCAGCUUCCUCCCCUUCUUCCUCAUCAGACAUAUUGUUUAUCACCUCCGUAAUAAUAUC